AAAAUUAUUCCUUACCCGUGGAAGAAGAAUUGUGCUUUUGUGGAGUUUGAGCGGGAGAGUGAUAGUCAAGAUGCGUUGGUGGAUAUGCGUUUCAAAUUCUUCCCGGACAAAUGGCAAUGGAAAGUGUGCUAUGCUCACUCGGAUGAUCCUGGAAAGAGUGUUGUAGAAGAGAAUGUUGAAGAAGUUGAUUGGCAACUAGUGCCUCAAUCGUCAUCCGACUCAAGAAAGGCUCUUGAAGAAGAUCAUUCCUCAUCGUACUCUGGGGUCACAACUCUUGCUCCCUCAUCAUCUUUUGGGGUCACACCAUCGUAAAGCGCUCUUCCUAGCUCUAAGUUGUCUCCUUACCCACUUCCCUUGACCACUGCUGGGGUCAAACCAACGGCAAGCGCUCGUGCUCCCUCAUCAUCCUCUGGGGUCACACCAUCGCCAAGCACUUUUGAGUUUUGAUACGUUUAAGUUGCCUCCUC